rnacentral:rRNA from 1 species
UACGAAGGGGGCUAGCGUUGCUCGGAAUCACUGGGCGUAAAGGGUGCGUAGGCGGGUCUUUAAGUCAGGGGUGAAAUCCUGGAGCUCAACUCCAGAACUGCCUUUGAUACUGAGGAUCUUGAGUUCGGGAGAGGUGAGUGGAACUGCGAGUGUAGAGGUGAAAUUCGUAGAUAUUCGCAAGAACACCAGUGGCGAAGGCGGCUCACUGGCCCGAUACUGACGCUGAGGCACGAAGGCCAGGGGAGCAAACGGA